GGCCCGUUGGUGUAAUGGGUAACACAUCCGUGUAUUCGACAGGGCGGCGAAGGUUCUUCGACUGCCUCGCGCGUACUUGCUACCUGAGCGGAGGAUACCGGUUCGAUCCCGGUGCGGGUCA